rnacentral:rRNA from 1 species
AUUGAACGCUGGCGGCAGGCCUAACACAUGCAAGUCGAGCGGAUGACGGGAGCUUGCUCCUUGAUUCAGCGGCGGACGGGUGAGUAAUGCCUAGGAAUCUGCCUGGUAGUGGGGGACAACGUUUCGAAAGGAACGCUAAUACCGCAUACGUCCUACGGGAGAAAGCAGGGGACCUUCGGGCCUUGCGCUAUCAGAUGAGCCUAGGUCGGACUAGCUAGUUGGUGGGGUAAUGGCUCACCAAGGCGACGAUCCGUAACUGGUCGGAGAGGAUGAUCAGCCACACUGGAACUGAGACACGGUCCAGACUCCUACGGGAGGCAGCAGUGGGGAAUAUUGGACAAUGGGCGAAAGCCUGAUCCAGCCAUGCCGCGUGUGUGAAGAAGGUCUUCGGAUUGUAAAGCACUUUAAGUUGGGAGGAAGGGCAGUAAGUUAAUACCUUGCUGUUUUGACGUUACCGACAGAAUAAGCACCGGCUAACUCUGUGCCAGCCGCCGCGGUAAGAC